rnacentral:rRNA from 1 species
UACGUAGGUCCCGAGCGUUGUCCGGUUUUAUUGGGCGUAAAGCGAGCGCAGGUGGUUUAUUAAGUCUGGUGUAAAAGGCAGUGGCUCAACCAUUGUAUGCAUUGGAAACUGGUAGACUUGAGUGCAGGAGAGGAGAGUGGAAUUCCAUGUGUAGCGGUGAAAUGCGUAGAUAUAUGGAGGAACACCGGUGGCGAAAGCGGCUCUCUGGCCUGUAACUGACACUGAGGCUCGAAAGCGUGGGGAGCAAACAGG